UACGAAGGGGGCGAGCGUUGUUCGGAUUUACUGGGCGUAAAGGGCGCGCAGGCGGUUCUGUUUGUCGAGUGUGAAAGCCCCGGGCUCAACCUGGGAACUGCGCUCGAAACGGCGGAACUAGAGUUCGGGAGAGGAGAGUGGAAUUCCCAGUGUAGAGGUGAAAUUCGUAGAUAUCAGGAGGAACACCGGUGGUGUAGACGGCUCACUGGACCGUAACUGACGCUGAGACACGAAAGCGUGGGUAGCAAACAGG
rnacentral:rRNA from 1 species